rnacentral:rRNA from 1 species
CCCUUAGAUGUCCUGGGCCGCACGCGCGCUACACUGACAUGUUCAACAAGCCUCCUAGUUCGACAGGAUUUGGGAAAUCUUUGAACGCAUGUCGUGAUAGGGAUAGAUCAUUGCAAUUAUUGAUCUUGAACGAGGAAUUCCUAGUAAACGCGAGUCAUCAGCUCGCAUUGAUUACGUCCCUGCCCUUUGUACACACCGCCCGUCGCACCUACCGAUUGAAUGUUUCGGUGAAGAUUCCGGAUAGGACUUUUUUGAUUUAUUUCAAUUUUGUCUUAAAAGCUAUCUAAACCUCAACAUUUAUAGGAAGGUGAAGUCGUAACA